rnacentral:rRNA from 1 species
UUUAACGGGAAAGAACCUUACCUACCCUUGACAUGCCAGGAACUUACCAGAGAUGGUUUGGUGCUCGAAAGAGAGCCUGGACACAGGUGCUGCAUGGCUGUUGUCAGCUCGUGUCGUGAGAUGUUGGGUUAAGUCCCGCAACGAGCGCAACCCUUGUCGUUAAUUGCCAUCAUUAAGUUGGGCACUUUAGCGAGACUGCCGGUGACAAACCGGAGGAAGGUGGGGAUGACGUCAAGUCCUCAUGGCCCUUAUGGGUAGGGCUUCACACGUCAUACAAUGGUCGGUACAGAGGGUUGCCAAGCCGCGAGGUGGAGCCAAUCCCAGAAAGCCGAUCGUAGUCCGGAUUGGAGUCUGCAACUCGACUCCAUGAAGUCGGAAUCGCUAGUAAUCGCAGAGCGAGAGCGGUUUGCCCC